AUUGAACGCUGGCGGCAGGCCUAACACAUGCAAGUCGAGCGAGCGGCGGACGGGUGAGUAAUGUCUGGGAAACUGCCUGAUGGCGGGGGAUAACUACUGGCAACUGUAGCUAAUACCGCAUACCAUCAGAUGUGCCAAGAUGGGAUUAGCUCGUAGGUGGGGUAACGGCCCACCUAGGCGACGAUCCCUAGCUGGUCUGAGAGGAGGACCAGCAACACUGGAACUGGGACACGGUCCAGACUCCGACGGUAGGCAGCAGUGGGGAAUAGUGCACAAUGGGCGCAAGCCUGAUGCAGCCAUGCCGCGUGUGUGAAGAAGGCCUUCGGGUUGUAAAGCACUUUCAGCGGGGAGGCGUUACCCGCAGAAGAAGCACCGGCUAACUCCGUGCCAGCAGCCGCGGUAAUUC
rnacentral:rRNA from 1 species